AAGCUCGUAGUUGAAUUUCGGGAUCAGACUGUCGGUCGUGCCUCGGUACGCACUGGCAUUAUUGGUUCCUACCUUCUGAAGAACCGCGAUGUCAUUAAUUUGGUGUCGCGGGGAAUCAGGACUGUUACUUUGAAAAAAUUAGAGUGUUUAAAGCAGGCUUACGCUUGAAUACAUUAGCAUGGAAUAAUGAAAUAGGACGUUUGAUUCUAAUUUUGUUGGUUUCUAGGAUCGACGUAAUGAUUAAUAGGGAUAGUUGGG
rnacentral:rRNA from 1 species